ensembl:lncRNA
AAGUGCUCGUGACCUUUCAAGCUCUUCUACUUCCUCUCUUGUUCUUUAUGAAUUGGUCAUUAUUUACCAGAUAUUUAGUGAUGAACUCCCACUUUCCCUAGGCUGUAAGGCAUGGCCAUCACAAACAGCUUGCCAAGUCUUCUGAGCUGUGCUUCCAGUGCAGCACAACUGGGAAGGUCAGCUGUGAGCAACAGAAAAAAUGUACCAAGUCCAGAAAGGUGAAGGAGGUGCGUACUGUCUGACGUUGGGCUGUCCUGAACUCAUCCAGCAAAACAUUUGAAAGUGCUUCCACAUCAAAAAAAGCCCCGUAGAACUGCCAGGAUGGCUGGUAGAUAAACCGAGUGGCUUAUGGAUGGAAAUGAGCCUGCUGCAGCCAACGGGACUCAACCCGAUGGGAGCAUACAGACAUAAAAGUUUCUCAGAGACAUGUUUGAACAACCACAUUAAAUCGGUUGCCCAGUAGGCUUUCUUUCAUAUGUCUGGAGAGCAGCAAGUGUAGUAAUUGUAUCUAGGGAAGGAAAAGUGGCAGCUACAAGAGCAGUAUAACAUGAAAAGGGAGAUAAGCUUUAAAACACUUAAAAAUAUUUUUAUUUUAUUUUAGUAAAAGAGAAUGAAAGUGUGGACUAAGCAGAUAAUACUAGGAAAUCAAACACGAGUCUGCUGCAGUUAACUAUGUUGGAAAAUCUCUUACCCUUGUUUGAUAAGAGCUGAUCUCUCAGGCAAUGAGAGUGCCAUAUAUACUUCAAAUAGCACAAAACAUUUGGUGUAUGACCCUCUAAAAAUAUUAGUUAGGCAGAGGAAAAGAGAAGGUGGGGAUUGGUAUAAGCAGUGUAGAGAACAUGCCAACUUCAGGAAAUUCUGUUUGGAUCUUCAGACUGAUCUUACUUAGCAAUAACCAUGCAAAAGUUUCAUUAGAACUUGUUCCAAAAUUACAGCUUUUUACUAAUAAAAACUGCUGAUGAGGUUACCAAUUGCCCCUGCUAUAACACGCCUGUAACCUCUCUACAGGCCCACAGGUAAGAUCUUAGACUGUCCUCACACUGGUACAGUUUGACAAAUGCUUCAGGUUUAAGCAGCCUCUGGUCUUUAUUUUCCUAUUUCUACCCCCAAUUUGUUGCCUAUACCAACUCUCAGCGUGCCAAAAUAACCAUUUGUGCGCAGUGUGGUGAAACAGAGCUGGGAACAUCUGUAAGUUAAAAUUAAACCUAUUUUGGUGGGUGGUUUUCUUUUGGGAUGGAUACGCAGGGAGGCAGAACAUCAAAGAGACGAGGCCACUUAGCAGCACACCUUAUGUCUGUGCUGAAACAUGCAGGUCCUCUUCCCUUGAUGCUGGACCAGGAACUGGAAAAGGUGAUUCAUCCACCAGUUAUCUGCUGCUGGUUUCCAGGAGAAAGAGAGAAAGAAAGUGAUCCCUUAGCUCUCAACUCCAAUCCAGUGAAAUUAAUCUAGCAAAUAACAUAAACUGACAACUCUGAAAUAUCAAAAAGAAAACAGUUUGAUUGCUUAAUUAACUGCCUGAUCACAACUUUCCAACAAAAACACUUCAUUUGUAGGCUACAUCUACAGGCAAGCUACAAUUCUUUAGAGAAAAUCACACAAAAGCUGCCCUCCCUUGCACAAAAUCACACAGAGCUUGCUGUACAUGUAUCAGAAAUGCUAAGUCAUGGCCU